rnacentral:rRNA from 1 species
UGGGGAAUUUUGGACAAUGGGCGAAAGCCUGAUCCAGCAAUGCCGCGUGUGUGAAGAAGGCCUUCGGGUUGUAAAGCACUUUUGUCCGGAAAGAAAUCCUUGGCUCUAAUACAGUCGGGGGAUGACGGUACCGGAAGAAUAAGCACCGGCUAACUACGUGCCAGCAGCCGCGGUAAUACGUAGGGUGCAAGCGUUAAUCGGAAUUACUGGGCGUAAAGCGUGCGCAGGCGGUUUGCUAAGACCGAUGUGAAAUCCCCGGGCUCAACCUGGGAACUGCAUUGGUGACUGGCAGGCUAGAGUAUGGCAGAGGGGGGUUAGAAUUCCACGUGUAGCAGUGAAAUGCGUAGAGAUGUGGAGGAAUACCGAUGGCGAAGGCAGCCCCCCUGGGCCAAUACUGACGCUCAUGCACGAAAGCGUGGGGAGCAAACAGGAUUAGAUACCCUGGUAGUCCACGCCCUAAACGAUGUCAACUGUUGUUGGGGAACUUCAUUUUCCUUUAGUAACGUAGCUAACGCGUGAAGUUGACCGCCUGGGGGAGUACGGUCGCAAGAUUAAAACUCAAAUGAAUUGACGGGGUCAUAGCUGUUUCCU